rnacentral:rRNA from 1 species
AGGAUUGGCAUGGGCGAAAGCCUGAUCAGCCUGCCGCGUGUGUGAAGAAGGUCUUCGGAUUGUAAAGCACUUUAAGUUGGGAGGAAGGGCAUUAACCUAAUACGUUAGUGCUUUGACGUUACCGACAGAAUAAGCACCGGCUAACUCUGUGCCAGCAGCCGCGGUAAUACAGAGGGUGCAAGCGUUAAUCGGAAUUACUGGGCGUAAAGCGCGCGUAGGUGGUUUGUUAAGUUGAAUGUGAAAUCCCCGGGCUCAACCUGGGAACUGCAUCCAAAACUGGCAAGCUAGAGUAUGGUAGAGGGUAGUGGAAUUUCCUGUGUAGCGGUGAAAUGCGUAGAUAUAGGAAGGAACACCAGUGGCGAAGGCGACUACCUGGACUGAUACUGACACUGAGGCGCGAAAGCGUGGG